rnacentral:lncRNA from 1 species
AUGCUUCUCUCCAGCCUUCUGAGGGUGGUCGUGGCUUCACUGUGUUUAGGAUCCAGUAUUGCCCAGAAAGUAACUCAAGACCAACCACCCAUGUCAGUGCAGGAGAAAGAAACUGUGACCCUGGAUUGCACAUAUGACACCAGUAUUACAACCUAUAGUCUAUUCUGGUACAAGCAACCCAGCAGUGGGGUGAUGACCUUCCUCAUUCGCCAGGACUCUUCUAACAAGCCAAAUGCCACAGAAGGUCGCUACUCAUUGAAUUUCCAGAAGGCAAGCAAAUUCAUCACAUUUACGAUCUCAGCUUCACAACUGGAGGACUCUGCAGUGUAUUUCUGUGCACUGAGUGAGCCCACAGUGAGAGGCAUGUAGGAGGGACCUGCACCAAAACCCAGAGUUCUAAUUGAUACAUCCACCUGCUGUCGGGACCAGGGUAGGGAAUCGCCUUCACAGACAGGAAGUGGUUAGCACUGUGGCAGCACAGGUGUAGGUUUAGAGCGGAAACUCUCAUUCUAAGAAAGUAUUUCUCUAGGUUCAUAGACCAUGUCUAGAGCUAUCACUCAUCAAAAACAUUCUUAUCCCUGAAAAUUUGGAUUUAAAUUUCUUAUCAAACACAAAUAUAACCACCAAAAUCUUUAUCAUUUGGUGAUUAGAUUAAACUAGAAGAAUUGACUAAGGAAAUUCAGAAAUUUCUGAAUUAAAAAUCAGUUUAAAAUAUGUGUGAAUUAUUAGUCUUUUAGAUAAGUUCUGUUCAGUUCAGUCACUCACCUGUAUCUGACUCUUUGUGACUGCAUGGACCGCAGCACACCAGGCCUCCCCGCCUAACACCAACUCCUGGAGUCUACUCAAACUCAUGUCCAUUGAGUCGGUGAUGCCAUCCAACCAUCUCACCCUCUGUCAUCCCCUUCUUCUCCCACCUUCAGUCUUUCCCAGAUCAGGGUCUUUUCCAAUGAGUUAGUUCUUCACAUCAGGCAGCUAAAGUAUUAGAGUUUCAGCUUCAACAUCAGUCCUUCCAAUGAAUAUUCAGGACUGAUUUCCUUUAGGAUGGACUGGUUGGAUCUCCUUGCAGUCCAAGGGACUCUCAAGAGUCUUCUCCAACACCACAGUUCAAAAGCAUCAGUUCUUCGGCACUCAGCUUUCUUUAUAGUCCAACUCUCACAUCCAUACAUGACCACUGGAAAAACUAUAGCCUUGCCUUGACAGACCUUUGUUGGCAGAGUAAUGUCUCUGCUUUUUAAUAUGCUAUCUAGGCUAGUCAUAAGUUUCCUUCCAAGGAGUAAGUGUCCUUUAACUUCAUGGCUGCAGUCACCAAUUGCAGUGAUUUUGGAGCCCCCCCCGCCCCGCCCCCAAAUAAAGUCUGUCACUGUUUCCGCUGUUUCCCUAUC